UACGUAGGGUGCAAGCGUUAAUCGGAAUUACUGGGCGUAAAGCGUGCGCAGGCGGUUUUGUAAGUCUGUCAUGAAAGCCCCGGGCUCAACCUGGGAAUUGCGAUGGAGACUGCAAGGCUUGAAUCUGGCAGAGGGGGGUAGAAUUCCACGUGUAGCAGUGAAAUGCGUAGAGAUGUGGAGGAACACCGAUGGCGAAGGCAGCCCCCUGGGUCAAGAUUGACGCUCAUGCACGAAAGCGUGGGGAGCAAACAGG
rnacentral:rRNA from 1 species